rnacentral:rRNA from 1 species
AGAGUUUGAUCAUGGCUCAGGAUGAACGCUGGCGGCGUGCCUAACACAUGCAAGUCGAGCGAUUCACUUUUGUGAAGAGCGGCGGACGGGUGAGUAACGCGUGGGUAACCUGCCCUGUACACACGGAUAACAUACCGAAAGGUAUGCUAAUACGGGAUAAUAUAUAGAAGUUACAUGGCUUUUAUAUCAAAGAUUUUUCGGUACAGGAUGGACCCGCGUCUGAUUAGCUAGUUGGUAAGGUAACGGCUUACCAAGGCGACGAUCAGUAGCCGACCUGAGAGGGUGAUCGGCCACAUUGGAACUGAGACACGGUCCAAACUCCUACGGGAGGCAGCAGUGGGGAAUAUUGCACAAUGGGCGCAAGCCUGAUGCAGCAACGCCGCGUGAGCAAUGAAGGCCUUCGGGUCGUAAAGCUCUGUCCUCAAGGAAGAUAAUGACGGUACUUGAGGAGGAAGCCCCGGCUAACUACGUGCCAGCAGCCGCGGUAAUACGUAGGGGGCUAGCGUUAUCCGGAUUUACUGGGCGUAAAGGGUGCGUAGGCGGUCUUUCAAGUCAGGAGUUAAAGGCUACGGCUCAACCGUAAUAAGCUCCUGAUACUGUCUGACUUGAGCGCAGGAGAGGAAAGUGGAAUUCCCAGUGUAGCGGUGAAAUGCGUAGAUAUUGGGAGGAACACCAGUAGCGAAGGCGGCUUUCUGGACUGUAACUGACGCUGAGGCACGAAAGCGUGGGGAGCAAACAGGAUUAGAUACCCUGGUAGUCCACGCUGUAAACGAUGAAUACUAGGUGUCGGAGGUACCCCC